GACGAACCGUGCGAACGUUGUUCGGAAUCACUGGGUUUAAAGGGCGCGUAGGCGGAUGGCACAGUCAGAUGUGAAAUUCCCGGGCUUAACCUGGGGGCUGCAUUUGAUACGUGUUGUCUUGAGUUCGGAAGAGGGUCGUGGAAUUCCCAGUGUAGAGGUGAAAUUCGUAGAUAUUGGGAAGAACACCGGUGGCGAAGGCGGCGACCUGGUCCGACACUGACGCUGAGGCGCGAAAGCGUGGGGAGCAAACAGG
rnacentral:rRNA from 1 species